rnacentral:rRNA from 1 species
UUCGAGUCGUUGAUUUCACACUGCCGAGAAAAGCCUCUAGAUAGAAAAUAGGUGCCCGUACCGCAAACCGACACAGGUAGUCAAGAUGAGAAUUCUAAGGUGAGCGAGCGAACUCUCGUUAAGGAACUCGGCAAAAUGACCCCGUAACUUCGGGAGAAGGGGUGCUCUUUAGGGUUAACGCCCAGAAGAGCCGCAGUGAAUAGGCCCAAGCGACUGUUUAUCAAAAACACAGGUCUCUGCUAAACCGUAAGGUGAUGUAUAGGGGCUGACGCCUGCCCGGUGCUGGAAGGUUAAGAGGAGUGGUUAGCUUCUG